GUGCAGCAGUCGAGAAAACUUCACAAUGUGCGAAAGCACGAUGAGGGAAUCCCAAGUGCUUGCACGUAAGUGUAAGCUGUUUCUCUGUCUAAAACGCAGAGAGAGUAAGGGCUGGGUAAGACGGGUGCCAGCCGCCGCGGUAAUACCUGCAGCUCGAGUGGUGACCGUUAUUAUUGGGCCUAAAACGUCCGUAGCCGGUUUAAUAAAUGCCUGGGUAAAUCGGACCGCUUAACGGUUCGAAUUCCGGGUAGACUGUUAAACUUGAGACCGGGAGAAGUUAGAGGUACUCCUGGGGUAGAGGUGAAAUUCUGUAAUCCUAGGGGGACCACCAGUGGCGAAGGCGUCUAACUAGAACGGGUCUGACGGUGAGGGACGAAGCCCUGGGGCGC
rnacentral:rRNA from 1 species